rnacentral:rRNA from 1 species
AACGAACGCUGGCGGCAGGCUUAACACAUGCAAGUCGAACGCAUCCUUCGGGGUGAGUGGUAGACGGGUGAGUAACGCGUGGGAACGUGCCCUUCAGUUCGGGAUAACCCAGGGAAACUUGGGCUAAUACCGGAUACGUGCGAGAGAAGAAAGAUUUGUCGCUGAAGGAUCGGCCCGAGUCUGAUUAGCUAGUUGGUGGGGUAAUGGCCCACGAAGGCGACGAUCAGUAGCUGGUCUGAGAGGAUGAUCAGCCAAAUUGGGACUGAGACACGGACCAAACUCCUACGGGAGGCAGCAGUGGGGAAUAUUGGACAAUGGGCGCAAGCCUGAUCCAGCCAUGCCGCGUGAGUGAUGAAGGCCUUAGGGUUGUAAAGCUCUUUCGUCCGGGACGAUAAUGACGGUACCGGAAGAAGAAGCCCCGGCUAACUUCGUGCCAGCAGCCGCGGUAA